rnacentral:rRNA from 1 species
ACAAUGAAGAGUUUGAUCCUGGCUCAGGAUGAACGCUAGCUACAGGCUUAACACAUGCAAGUCGAGGGGCAUCAGGAAGAAAGCUUGCUUUCUUUGCUGGCGACCGGCGCACGGGUGAGUAACACGUAUCCAACCUGCCCUUUACUCGGGGAUAGCCUUUCGAAAGAAAGAUUAAUACCCGAUAGUAUAAUGAUUCCGCAUGGUUUCAUUAUUAAAGGAUUCCGGUAAAGGAUGGGGAUGCGUUCCAUUAGGUUGUUGGUGAGGUAACGGCCCACCAAGCCUUCGAUGGAUAGGGGUUCUGAGAGGAAGGUCCCCCACAUUGGAACUGAGACACGGUCCAAACUCCUACGGGAGGCAGCAGUGAGGAAUAUUGGUCAAUGGGCGCUAGCCUGAACCAGCCAAGUAGCGUGAAGGAUGAAGGCUCUAUGGGUCGUAAACUUCUUUUAUAUAAGAAUAAAGUGCAGUAUGUAUACUGUUUUGUAUGUAUUAUAUGAAUAAGGAUCGGCUAACUCCGUGCCAGCAGCCGCGGUAAUACGGAGGAUCCGAGCGUUAUCCGGAUUUAUUGGGUUUAAAGGGAGCGUAGGUGGACUGGUAAGUCAGUUGUGAAAGUUUGCGGCUCAACCGUAAAAUUGCAGUUGAUACUGUCAGUCUUGAGUACAGUAGAGGUGGGCGGAAUUCGUGGUGUAGCGGUGAAAUGCUUAGAUAUCACGAAGAACUCCGAUUGCGAAGGCAGCUCACUGGACUGCAACUGACACUGAUGCUCGAAAGUGUGGGUAUCAAACAGGAUUAGAUACCCUGGUAGUCCACACAGUAAACGAUGAAUACUCGCUGUUUGCGAUAUACAGUAAGCGGCCAAGCGAAAGCAUUAAGUAUUCCACCUGGGGAGUACGCCGGCAACGGUGAAACUCAAAGGAAUUGACGGGGGCCCGCACAAGCGGAGGAACAUGUGGUUUAAUUCGAUGAUACGCGAGGAACCUUACCCGGGCUUAAAUUGCAGUGGAAUGAUGUGGAAACAUGUCAGUGAGCAAUCACCGCUGUGAAGGUGCUGCAUGGUUGUCGUCAGCUCGUGCCGUGAGGUGUCGGCUUAAGUGCCAUAACGAGCGCAACCCUUAUCUUUAGUUACUAACAGGUUAUGCUGAGGACUCUAGAGAGACUGCCGUCGUAAGAUGUGAGGAAGGUGGGGAUGACGUCAAAUCAGCACGGCCCUUACGUCCGGGGCUACACACGUGUUACAAUGGGGGGUACAGAAGGCAGCUAGCGGGUGACCGUAUGCUAAUCCCAAAAUCCUCUCUCAGUUCGGAUCGAAGUCUGCAACCCGACUUCGUGAAGCUGGAUUCGCUAGUAAUCGCGCAUCAGCCACGGCGCGGUGAAUACGUUCCCGGGCCUUGUACACACCGCCCGUCAAGCCAUGGGAGCCGGGGGUACCUGAAGUACGUAACCGCAAGGAUCGUCCUAGGGUAAAACUGGUGACUGGGGCUAAGUCGUAACAAGGUAGCCGUACCGGAAGGUGCGGCUGGAACACCUCCUUU